rnacentral:rRNA from 1 species
UGCAGUCGACGAUGACCACUUCGGUGGGGAUUAGUGGCGAACGGGUGAGUAACACGUGGGCAAUCUGCCCUUCACUCUGGGACAAGCCCUGGAAACGGGGUCUAAUACCGGAUAACACUUCCAUUCGCAUGGGUGGAGGUUAAAAGCUCCGGCGGUGAAGGAUGAGCCCGCGGCCUAUCAGCUUGUUGGUGAGGUAAUGGCUCACCAAGGCGACGACGGGUAGCCGGCCUGAGAGGGCGACCGGCCACACUGGGACUGAGACACGGCCCAGACUCCUACGGGAGGCAGCAGUGGGGAAUAUUGCACAAUGGGCGAAAGCCUGAUGCAGCGACGCCGCGUGAGGGAUGACGGCCUUCGGGUUGUAAACCUCUUUCAGCAGGGAAGAAGCGAAAGUGACGGUACCUGCAGAAGAAGCGCCGGCUAACUACGUGCCAGCAGCCGCGGUAAUACGUAGGGCGCAAGCGUUGUCCGGAAUUAUUGGGCGUAAAGAGCUCGUAGGCGGUCUGUCACGUCGGAUGUG